rnacentral:ncRNA from 1 species
CAUUAGAGCAUUGAGAGGACCUUUCCCUCAUACGAGAGGACCGAGAAGGACGCACCUCUGGUGUACCAGUUAUUGUGCCCACGGUAAAUGUUGGGUAGCCAAGUACAGAGCGGAUAACUGCUGAAAGCAUCUAAGUAGUAAGCCCAUCCAAAGAUGAGUUCUCUCCUAUUCCAAUUUCCACAGAUCUUUCGGUAGCACAGUCGAGACAACGACAGGUUCUCUGCCCCUGUGGGGAUGGAGCGACAGAAGUUUUUUUGAUAAUUUAAGAGAAGGUCACGGCGAGAUGAGCCGUUUAUCAUUACGAUAGGUGUCAACUGGAAGUACAGUGAUGUAUGCAGCUGAGGCAUCCUAAUAGACUGG